ACGAACGCUGGCGGCGUGGAUAAGACAUGCAAGUCGAACGGAACAAUUUGGUAGCAAUAUUAAAUUGUUCAGUGGCGAACGGGUGCGUAACACGUGGAUACAUGCCGGGAAGCGAGGGAUAGCCCAGGGAAACUUGGAUUAAUACCUCAUGUGGUCGCAAGACUAAAGGCGGGGCAACCUGCCACUUCCUGAUUGGUCCGCGGCCUAUCAGCUUGUUGGUGAGGUAAUGGCUCACCAAGGCUACGACGGGUAGCUGGUCUGAGAGGAUGACCAGCCACACUGGAACUGAGACACGGUCCAGACACCUACGGGUGGCAGCAGUCGAGAAUCUUUCACAAUGGGGGCAACCCUGAUGGAGCGACGCCGCGUGGAGGAUAAGGUCUUCGGAUUGUAAACUCCUGUCAUGCGAGAGCAAGACUUGCCGGGUAACUCCUGCAAGUUUGAUAGUAUCGCAAGAGGAAGAGACGGCUAACUCUGU
rnacentral:rRNA from 1 species